CCUUCGAUAGCUCAGUUGGAAGAGCGUGGGACUGUAACGGUUACAUGUCCAUCCCGAGGUCGCUGGUUCGAACCCGGCUCGAAGGA
rnacentral:tRNA from 1 species